AGUGAACGCUGGCGGUAGGCCUAACACAUGCAAGUCGAACGGCAGCACAGUAAGAGCUUGCUCUUACGGGUGGCGAGUGGCGGACGGGUGAGGAAUACAUCGGAAUCUACUUUUUCGUGGGGGAUAACGUAGGGAAACUUACGCUAAUACCGCAUACGACCUACGGGUGAAAGCAGGGGAUCUUCGGACCUUGCGCGAUUGAAUGAGCCGAUGUCGGAUUAGCUAGUUGGCGGGGUAAAGGCCCACCAAGGCGACGAUCCGUAGCUGGUCUGAGAGGAUGAUCAGCCACACUGGAACUGAGACACGGUCCAGACUCCUACGGGAGGCAGCAGUGGGGAAUAUUGGACAAAGGGCGCAAGCCUGAUCCAGCCAUACCGCGUGGGUGAAGAAGGCCUUCGGGAUGUAAAGCCCUUUUGUUGGGAAAGAAAAGCAGCAGGUUAAUACCCCGCUGUUCUGACGGUACCCAAAGAAUAAGCACCGGCUAACUUCGUG
rnacentral:rRNA from 1 species